GCCGGUAUGGUGUUGUGGUUUGAGCACCGGACUACAACUCUGGAGAGCAGGGUUCAAUUCCCUCUGGGCC